GACAACUCUAGUUAAAAUAUUAGGAAAUUAAGAAGCCUUGUUGAUGUGUAUACAUCGUAUACACAAAUUAUUGACUAAAACAGAGUAAGAACAAUUUAGUGUUUGAAUGAGUUGGUAAAUCUAACCAAAAACGCAUAACUAAAAAAAAAUUCUUAAAGCUUCACGAAAUCAUUUCUUAAAAUAUUUGGGAAGAUAAAUCUCAGCAUCUCCCGUUUAACUUCUUCUAUUGUAUGUUUAGCAUCUCCAUCGUCGUAAUACCGGGUGUUCAUCAGAUCGAAACUACGAGUGGUGCUUGAAGUUAAAUGCUUCUUUUCUUUUCCUUUCGUUACUUCAUUGGGAUGAACCUCAUCUUCCUCAUAAUACGGUUUGUUUAGAUCAAAUUUGUGAGGAUUUGUCUUGCUGAUGGGAUGAACAUCCUGUGAUUUGCUUUCACUUUGUUGCAUUUUAGGUUUCAGAUUUUUGUUCUAUGAAAAAAUUUGAUUGCGUAGAUAUUUA
rnacentral:lncRNA from 1 species